GUACACUCCUGCGGGAGGCAGCAGUGGGGAAUAUUGGACAAUGGGCGCAAGCCUGAUCCAGCCAUGCCGCGUGAGUGAUGAAGGCCCUAGGGUUGUAAAGCUCUUUCACCGGUGAAGAUAAUGACGGUAACCGGAGAAGAAGCCCCGGCUAACUUCGUGCCAGCAGCCGCGGUAAUACGAAGGGGGCUAGCGUUGUUCGGAUUUACUGGGCGUAAAGCGCACGUAGGCGGACUAUUAAGUCAGGGGUGAAAUCCCGGGGCUCAACCCCGGAACUGCCUUUGAUACUGGUAGUCUUGAGUUCGAGAGAGGUGAGUGGAAUUCCGAGUGUAGAGGUGAAAUUCGUAGAUAUUUGGAGGAACACCAGUGGCGAAGGCGGCUCACUGGCUCGAUACUGACGCUGAGGUGCGAAAGCGUGGGGAGCAAACAGGAUUAGAUACCCCAGUAGUCCCAUG
rnacentral:rRNA from 1 species